UAUCCAAAAAGCUGUUGAGAGUUCAGAGAAGCAACAGCAGAGAUACCCCAGGCCAAUGAUUUAUAGCACCUUUAUGGCUCUUUUGGCUGCUUGAAGCUCUUUCAAGGCAGUGGGUGUCAGUGAGUGCAGGGAGUGCAGACCACAUCUGAUGACACCAUUGGAGGGGUGAUGCCACAAUGACUUUCACACUUCUCAAAUCCCUCUAGUGACACCGCUGCACAAGGCACCUCAUGGUUAUUCAAGCCAAGAAAAGGGUGUUAAGAGGCACUUCCCUUGGGGAAGAGUGAGGGUUAGUUACAUUAAAACCUGAGUACAAUGGACAACCUCUGGAAGUAGUCUUCCAUCACGUGAUGGUCUCCGUGGGACUCUGUUUUUAAAGUGUCUAGAAAUGGGGGCCAGAUGCUUAAGAGAUGGGCAGAUGGAUAAAAGGAAAGAUGGAAGAAUUCAUCUGACACACAGAGUGAAAAUUGGAGAGUACUGUUAAUCUCUUUGCCUUUUUAUUGAAAUGUAAACAGAGCUGAAGAUUAAAAAAAAACCAUACUCAUAUACCAAUCAGAGGCUCAAGAUUCAAAUGUAGUGAUGGUAUGGUACCUUGGAUGAGUGAGAGAUUCACUUCAAUAAAAAUCUGAGAUGCAAUCCCUCCUCCCUUUCUAUGCAUGCAACUUUGCUCCUAUGUCUUUGAUUUCAGUGAUGGAUUAAAGUUAAAUAGAGUCCAGAUCUUCCUACAUUAUAUUGUUCAGACAUCUCUGCCCACUGGCCCUUCCUCCCAGAAGGGAUGUUUGUUUUUCUCCUGCUCCAAGUCCUUGAUCUUCUUUCCAAGUGAGGUAAUUCAGCCAGUCCUAAGGCUGCCCUGAGGCUGGCUGGCUCCAUGCCAAUCAAUUAUGCGCUCUGCCACCAAUACCUAUUUUUCUGUCUCUGAUUUUCUGCUUCCUUUGAAUCCCUCUGUUCCAAUUCCCAGUGUAGGGCCUGACCCAUAAAGAUCCUGGCUUGGUUAAUCACCCCCUUCUCCUUCUGUUUCUAAUGGGAACAAAACUGGUGUUGCAUUAGCAUCCUUUUGCACAGAGAGAGAGGGAAUAGACGGACUUCUAGAUUUUACAGUUUUUGGCUUAAAAGACCUACAUACUCCCCCAUCUUUAAUGUGUUACUUUAAAAAAAAACUUCACCUAGAAUCCUUAG